CCCUUAGAUGUUCGGGGCCGCACGCGCGCUACACUGAAGGAAUCAGCACGUCUUUCUCCUUGUCCGAAAGGACUGGGUAACCCGCUGAACCUCCUUCGUGCUAGGGAUUGGGGCUUGUAAUUCUUCCCCAUGAACGAGGAAUUCCCAGUAAGCGCGAGUCAUAAGCUCGCGUUGAUUACGUCCCUGCCCUUUGUACACACCGCCCGUCGCUACUACCGAUUGGAUGGUUUAGUGAGAUCCUCGGAUUGGUCCCGGCGCAGCCUCUGGUCGUGCCGGAGUGCCGAAAAGAAUGUCGAACUUGAUCAUCUAGAGGAAGUAAAAGUCGUAACA
rnacentral:rRNA from 1 species